GCGUGGGUCGGCCCGCUGUACUGGAUCCAGUGGGCUGGGGGACACCGCCGCCUACAUCCCCGCGGGCGGCGGACCGGUCCGGGAGGCGAACUCCGCCUCCCGGACUGUG
rnacentral:ncRNA from 5 species